UAUUCCCUGCGGUGUUCGCGAAGGCAUACAUUCCUUUGAACCAAUAAGUUCGCUUAAGGUUGCCGGGAGAUGCAGUGGGCGCGAGCGUCUGUACAGAUGCACCCGAAACUGCCCGUGGCGACCGCCUUGUCAGCAAGGUUCAAGCGGAUUCAGCCUAGACGACACCUGCGGGGAUUCC
rnacentral:other from 1 species